UGAAGCAAGGCCUUUGGGUUGUAAAGCUCUUUCAGUGAGGAAGAUAAUGACGGUACUCGCAGAAGAAGUCCUGGCUAAUUCCGUGCGAGCAGCUGCGGUAAUACGGAGAGGGCUAGCGUUAUUCGCAAUUAUUGCGCGUAAAGAGCACGUAGGACGAAAUGCUCA
rnacentral:ncRNA from 1 species